rnacentral:rRNA from 1 species
GUUUGAUCCUGGCUCAGAUUGAACGCUGGCGGCAGGCCUAACACAUGCAAGUCGAACGGUAACAGGAAGAAGCUUGCUUCUUUGCUGACGAGUGGCGGACGGGUGAGUAAUGUCUGGGAAACUGCCUGAUGGAGGGGGAUAACUACUGGAAACGGUAGCUAAUACCGCAUAACGUCGCAAGACCAAAGAGGGGGACCUUCGGGCCUCUUGCCAUCGGAUGUGCCCAGAUGGGAUUAGCUAGUAGGUGGGGUAACGGCUCACCUAGGCGACGAUCCCUAGCUGGUCUGAGAGGAUGACCAGCCACACUGGAACUGAGACACGGUCCAGACUCCUACGGGAGGCAGCAGUGGGGAAUAUUGCACAAUGGGCGCAAGCCUGAUGCAGCCAUGCCGCGUGUAUGAAGAAGGCCUUCGGGUUGUAAAGUACUUUCAGCGGGGAGGAAGGGAGUAAAGUUAAUACCUUUGCUCAUUGACGUUACCCGCAGAAGAAGCACCGGCUAACUCCGUGCCAGCAGCCGCGGUAAUACGGAGGGUGCAAGCGUUAAUCGGAAUUACUGGGCGUAAAGCGCACGCAGGCGGUUUGUUAAGUCAGAUGUGAAAUCCCCGGGCUCAACCUGGGAACUGCAUCUGAUACUGGCAAGCUUGAGUCUCGUAGAGGGGGGUAGAAUUCCAGGUGUAGCGGUGAAAUGCGUAGAGAUGUGGAGGAACACCAGUGGCGAAGGCGACUCUCUGGUCUGUAACUGACGCUGAGGAGCGAAAGCGUGGGGAGCGAACAGGAUUAGAUACCCUGGUAGUCCACGCCGUAAACGAUGAGUGCUAAGUGUUAGGGGGUUUCCGCCCCUUAGUGCUGCAGCUAACGCAUUAAGCACUCCGCCUGGGGAGUACGGUCGCAAGACUGAAACUCAAAGGAAUUGACGGGGGCCCGCACAAGCGGUGGAGCAUGUGGUUUAAUUCGAUGCAACGCGAAGAACCUUACCUGGUCUUGACAUCCACGGAAGUUUUCAGAGAUGAGAAUGUGCCUUCGGGAACCGUGAGACAGGUGCUGCAUGGCUGUCGUCAGCUCGUGUUGUGAAAUGUUGGGUUAAGUCCCGCAACGAGCGCAACCCUUAUCCUUUGUUGCCAGCGGUCCGGCCGGGAACUCAAAGGAGACUGCCAGUGAUAAACUGGAGGAAGGUGGGGAUGACGUCAAGUCAUCAUGGCCCUUACGACCAGGGCUACACACGUGCUACAAUGGCGCAUACAAAGAGAAGCGACCUCGCGAGAGCAAGCGGACCUCAUAAAGUGCGUCGUAGUCCGGAUUGGAGUCUGCAACUCGACUCCAUGAAGUCGGAAUCGCUAGUAAUCGUGGAUCAGAAUGCCACGGUGAAUACGUUCCCGGGCCUUGUACACACCGCCCGUCACACCAUGGGAGUGGGUUGCAAAAGAAGUAGGUAGCUUAACCUUCGGGAGGGCGCUUACCACUUUGUGAUUCAUGACUGGGGUGAAGUCGUAACAAGGUAACCGUAGGGGAACCUGCGGUUG